UACAGAGGUCUCAAGCGUUGUUCGGAUUCAUUGGGCGUAAAGGGUGCGUAGGCGGCGCGGUAAGUCGGGUGUGAAAUCUCGGAGCUUAACUCCGAAACUGCAUUCGAUACUGCCGUGCUUGAGGACUGGAGAGGAGACUGGAAUUUACGGUGUAGCGGUGAAAUGCGUAGAUAUCGUAAGGAAGACCAGUGGCGAAGGCGGGUCUCCGGACAGUUCCUGACUCUGAGGCACGAAGGCCAGGGGAGCAAACGGG
rnacentral:rRNA from 1 species